rnacentral:rRNA from 1 species
UACGUAGGGGGCAAGCGUUGUCCGGAUUUAUUGGGCGUAAAGAGCGUGUAGGCGGCCAGACAGGUCCGUUGUGAAAACUCGAGGCUCAACCUCGAGACGCCGAUGGAAACCGUCUGGCUAGAGUCCGGAAGAGGAGAGUGGAAUUCCUGGUGUAGCGGUGAAAUGCGCAGAUAUCAGGAAGAACACCCGUGGCUAAGGCGGCUCUCUAGUACGGUACUGACGCUGAGACGCGAAAGCGUGGGGGGCGAACAGG